rnacentral:rRNA from 1 species
AGAUUGAACGCUGGCGGCAGGCCUAACACAUGCAAGUCGAGCGGCAGCACGGGUACUUGUACCUGGUGGCGAGCGGCGGACGGGUGAGUAAUGCCUAGGAAUCUGCCUGGUAGUGGGGGAUAACGCUCGGAAACGGACGCUAAUACCGCAUACGUCCUACGGGAGAAAGCAGGGGACCUUCGGGCCUUGCGCUAUCAGAUGAGCCUAGGUCGGAUUAGCUAGUUGGUGAGGUAAUGGCUCACCAAGGCGACGAUCCGUAACUGGUCUGAGAGGAUG